rnacentral:lncRNA from 1 species
UACCCGUAUCACGAUAAUAGUAGUUUAACAAAAAGAAAAAGAAAGAAAAGGGAUAAGACUUUAAACGAUAAAGUAUAGGAGGAAAGUCUUCAGAGGCAAAAUUGCAUUGUCCGGGUGUGUAGCUCAUUUUUAUACUUGUUUCGCUCCUUCCUUCUCUGUUUGAAAGAAGAAAAAAAGGGAAAGACGGCGGAGACUAUGAUUUUCCAACGACAAUUUAAAAAGUGCUUCUCCCCUUCUGCCUACAGUUAUUCUCCUAGUGCGGCUCAAAAUGAUCGAGUCAUCGAAAAUGACAAGUUUCACAAAACGUAAUUUACCGAUUGUUCCGUAUAAAUAUAUAAAAUGUCUCAUUCAUCGUGUACUCUGAAAGACCUGAAAUCCACAUUCAUGAGGACAAAUGAGCAACAACUUAAACUUCGAAAGCCUCUCCUCGCAGAACGUGGGAUCGCAAAUUCAACGUCAAAACCUCUCUUCAGCUACCGCAAAACCGGAAGUAGAGGAAACCAAGCAACUACGACGUCAAAGAGGAAUACCAAACCGCAAAACUUCCAAGGUUUUCGCAAAUGUAUACUGGCCGCUAUCUGCAGGCUGGGCACGCUGCACCAGAAGAUACGACGUUGUAACUUCUCCUUUCUCGGUGAUCACC